GUCUUCGUGGAGUAGUGGUCAGCACGCUGGGCGCGUCUAUCAGAGGUCCGUGGUUCGAGUCCCGGCGAAGGCG
rnacentral:tRNA from 1 species